AUUGAACGCUGGCGGCAUGCUUUACACAUGCAAGUCGAACGGUAACAGGUUAAGCUGACGAGUGGCGAACGGGUGAGUAAUGCAUCGGAACGUGCCCGAUCGUGGGGGAUAACGCAGCGAAAGCUGCGCUAAUACCGCAUACGAUCUGAGGAUGAAAGCGGGGGACCGUAAGGCCUCGCGCAAUCGGAGCGGCCGAUGUCAGAUUAGGUAGUUGGUGGGGUAAAGGCUCACCAAGCCAACGAUCUGUAGCUGGUCUGAGAGGACGACCAGCCACACUGGGAAUGAGACACGGCCAAGACUACUACGGGAGGCAGCAGUGGGGAAUUUUGGACAAUGGGCGAAAGCCUGAUGCAGCAAUGACGCGUGCAGGAAGAAGGCCUUCGGGUUGUAAACUGCUUUUGUACGGAGCGAAAAGGCUCUCUCUAAUACAGGGGGCUCAUGACGGUACCGUAAGAAUAAGCACCGGCUAACUACGUGCCAGCCGCCGCAGUAA
rnacentral:rRNA from 1 species